rnacentral:rRNA from 1 species
UACAGAGGUCUCAAGCGUUGUUCGGAUUCAUUGGGCGUAAAGGGUGCGUAGGUGGCUUGGUAAGUCGGAUGUGAAAUCCCGGGGCUCAACCCCCGGAACUGCAUUCGAUACUGCCAGGCUGGAGUACUGGAGAGGAGAUUGGAAUUUACGGUGUAGCAGUGAAAUGCGUAGAUAUCGUAAGGAAGACCAGUGGCGAAGGCGGAUCUCUGGACAGUUACUGACACUGAGGCACGAAGGCCCGGGGGAGCAAACGGG